ACUGCUCAGUGAUCGGCCUGAAGCUGAAGCUGAUGUACGAGAGGCCUAUGGAGAUCACCAGAUCAUUACAAACAAACAAAAUCUCUCUCGUCUUCUCGCCUCAGUCGUCCUUUACCUCCACGCCCAGACGGAGUGAUGAACUCGUUAUACUGCUGCAGCCCGUGGUGAGUGUCCAGCUGGUGCCUUGGUGGGAUCAAAAGUACUACUCGAACAUCUGGCCCGCCACGGGUGACGCUAGCGACGACAGAGAUCCAGACGAUCCUGCCUGGUAGCCAUGUUUGUUGUUAUUCUUUUAUUUAUCGUAUAUGUACUGGAAAUAUGUGCUCAGAUUUCUUUCUUCCAUGGUUGGCGAAAGAAUGAUGAGAUCAAAUGAGCCUUCUUUUGCCAAGCGCCCGUUAGUUGAAACUUUUUAAUGGCAAAUCAUUGAAGAGGAACUUUUUGUCUUGCCAGAUUGAUCUCAUUGCAUGAAACGGGGUCCAACACUAUGUAUUUAGUUCUGUCUAAACGAUUUUUAAACUGUGAUAGCUUCUAAUAAGUAGAUUUUUGUUAGUAUUGCUGUCGUCGAGGCGAUGGUGUAUGUUGCCAGUUAACCCUUCGCCAAAACUCAUGUGUUCAUGUUUUACUCGUCAUUAAACAUCAUCUGGAGCUAGAAUACCGUAUGAUAUGCUCCCUUUUAGCUCUCAGUAUUCACCCAGCGUAAUGCUGUUCCACUGGUGCGGCUUUCAAGUUAGGGAAGUUCUAAGCGUUCUGUGAUAUUCCGUAGCGUUGUAAGUUGGACUAUAGACGUGUUGCUUGACAUAACUUCUGUUGGUGCGGUCCCUUGUUGUUUGAAUGUUAUUAAGAGUGCAAGUGUACUCCUGCUGAUGAAGUGCAUCCGAUGUGAAUGAUUUAAUUAAUAUAAAUGACGCAAAUCUGUUUAGAGCGAUUUGAUUGAAUAUAAUGACUUAAAGUGAAUUUAAUGAUUUUAAUGAAUGAUGAUUUGAAAGAUUUAGACCAGGUUUUGAAUGAAAAUUGUAUUUAUAUUAGUGCUAAGUUAGUGUUGCAUCAUUACAAAACUGGAGGAUACAAUUUCCGUGCAGAAAUCCAGAAUUUGCAGAUAUAAAAUGUAAAUUUCAUUCGAGGAAGAUAACUGGACAUGUAACUAUUUUUGCAAUGUUAAACUGCAUGAGGCUCUUCAGGCGAAUCUCGCUUCGGUAUGCAUUUUAUGAAGUAAGCCUCAGUCAUGCAGUUUUCCUGAAAUGAGGUGCCAAUUCAUAUUUUGCUUCCCUGCCAUUCAGGUGCAGUAAAGCUGCCAAUAGUCAGUAUUUACAUGCAGUUAUUUGUUACUAAGAACAAAGGUUGGGUUGCAUGUGCUGUCAUGCGAAGGAAUAACUAACUACCGCUAUGAACAGUAAACUUAUGAUGCGAAAAAACUGCUGAAAAUACAGAUUAGAUCCUGAAACUACCGAGGUACAAGUACUGUCCGGGCAAUUAACAACAACAACAACAAGUACUGUCAGAAAUUUGUAGAUUACAGGAAACCGUUCGACCAGUUGUAAUCGAGUGAUUACGCGUUAAAUUUGAAUGACGCUCUGGGCAAACUUAGUGUAACGAAAGUUCUCAGGCAGGAUUUAUGGACAACUCCGGGAAAAGUGCCAUUGAGCAAUAAAUUGCGACGAGAAGCUGUUUCCGCUAGACGUGGUAGUGCUGAUACCGUCUGUGUUCAAUGUCGUCUGGACUAACGCGCUGCUCUUUAUUUUUCGUAAGAGAACCCUUCUGUGUACGAAUUGUUUUUCAUAAAUUCUAUUUUAAACCGUA